GCCUUCGUGGUAUAGUGGUCAGCACGCUCGACGCGUAACCGGGAGAACCGUGGUUCGAUUCCCGGCGAAGGCG
rfam:Stegodyphus mimosarum contig86676, whole genome shotgun sequence.